GCCUGAGUGGCUCAGUCAGUUGAGCAUCCGACUUGGGCUCAGGUCAUGAUCUUAGGGUUCGUGGGUUCGAGCCCCACAUCAGGCU
rnacentral:tRNA from 1 species